UGGGUGUGAAGAGAGGCAACAAGAUGUUGGAAGUUUGAGGAGAAAGGCGUGGAAUGGCUGGAAAUUGAGAUUUGGGUUUGCGUGCUCUUCAUGGCAUUAUGCUGUUACAGUCAUAAGCAACCCUGUGAGACACAGUGGGCGUUGUUCUCAUCGGCGGAGUUGUCCAGAGACUAGAAGAAGGCGUGGGGGCUACUGCAGGAAGGGCUGUGGCCCCCCUCUGGGGCACAUAUGUGGUCUGCUA